CAGUCGCCGCGGUAAUACGGAGGGGGCUAGCGUUGUUCGGAAUUACUGGGUGUAAAGCGCACGUAGGCGGCUUUGUAAGUUAGAGGUGAAAGCCUGGAGCUCAACUCCAGAAUUGCCUUUAAGACUGCAUCGCUUGAAUCCAGGAGAGGUGAGUGGAAUUCCGAGUGUAGAGGUGAAAUUCGUAGAUAUUCGGAAGAACACCAGUGGCGAAGGCGGCUCACUAGACUGGUAUUGACGCUGAGGUGCGAAAGCGUGGGGAGCAAACAGGAUUAGAUACCCGAGUAGUCCCUGUCUCUUAUAC
rnacentral:rRNA from 1 species